UACGGGGGGAGCAAGCGUUGUUCGGAUUUACUGGGCGUAAAGGGCGCGUAGGCGGCCAGUGCAAGUCAGUUGUGAAAUCUCCGAGCUUAACUCGGAAAGGUCAACUGAUACUGCUCGGCUAGAGUGCGGAAGGGGCAACUGGAAUUCCUGGUGUAGCGGUGAAAUGCGCAGAUAUCAGGAGGAACACCGGUGGCGAAGGCGGGUCUCUGGGCCGAUAUUGACGCUGAGGAGCGAAAGCGUGGGGAGCGAACAGG
rnacentral:rRNA from 1 species